rnacentral:rRNA from 1 species
AGCAGCCGCGGUAAUUCCAGCUCCAAUAGCGUAUAUUAAAGUUGUUGCAGUUAAAAGCUCGUAGUUGAAUUUCGGGGUUCUACGGUCGGUCGGGCUAACGUCUGUACUGGUGUGUAGAAUUCCUACCUUCUGGGGAACCAUCAUGUUAUUAAUUUAGCGUGGUGGGAAACCAGGACCUUUACCUUGAAAAAUUAGAGUGUUCAAAGCAGGCUUACGUCUGAAUACAUUAGCAUGGAAUAAUAAAAUAGGACGGUGGUCUUGUUUUGUUGGUUUCUGAAUCACCGUAAUGAUUAGUAGGGAUAGUUGGGGCAUUAGUAUUCAAUUGUCAGAGUGAAAUUCUUGGAUUUAUUGAAGACUAACUUCUGCGAAAGCAUUUGCCAAGGAUGUUUUCAUUUAAUCAAGAACGAAAGUUAGGGGAUCGAAGACGAUCAGAUACCGUCGUAGUCUUAA